UACACACGACUGGUGAGCUAUCGUUGCUAAUGGUCCCGGGCUUGCACCCCGCGCUAUAAAAUACUCGGGGUUUGUUGGGUUAAAGUGGAUUUUACUACGCUCUGUGUAUUCAACACGCAUGCAACAACGCGGAAGUGCGGCAUGCAAGUGGGGCAAAUGGAACGCGCCCCGGGGACUUCAAAGGAGCGAGAGGUGGGAGGGGGGCGGUACGGCCAUCCGCGGAGAGCAGAGUCAGCGCGAGCAGACGGAUGGCCAUUGCACUCACACCGCGUAGUAAAAUCCACUGUAACCCAACAAACCCCAAUCAUCACCAGCCGUGCCUUAUUCCGUCAUGUCAUGUGGGCAUUAUAAGCUUUGUAUUGAAAACU